rnacentral:rRNA from 1 species
AAGUCUGGUGCCAGCAGCCGCGGUAAUUCCAGCUCCAAUAGCGUAUAUUAAAGUUGUUGCAGUUAAAAAGCUCGUAGUUGAAUUUCGGGGUUAGUAGGCUGGUCAUGCCACCGGUAUGUACUGGUCUUACUGAUUCCUCCUUCCUGAUGAACUGUAAUGCCAUUAAUUUGGUGUUGCAGGGAAUCUGGACUGUUACUUUGAAAAAAUUAGAGUGUUUAAAGCAGGCUAACGCUUGAAUACAUUAGCAUGGAAUAAUGAAAUAGGACGUUCGAUCCUAUUUUGUUGGUUUCUAGGAUUGACGUAAUGAUUAAUAGGGAUAGUUGGGGGCAUUAGUAUUCAAUUGUCAGAGGUGAAAUUCUUGGAUUUAUUGAAGACUAACUACUGCGAAAGCAUUUGCCAAGGAUGUUUUCAUUAAUCAAGAACGAAAGUUAGGGGAUCGAAGACGAUCAGAUACCGUCGUAGUCUUAACCAUAAACUAUGCCGACUAGGGAUCGGAUGAUGUUAAUUUUUUAAUGACUCAUUCGGCGCCUUACGGGAAACCAAAGUGUUUGGGU